rnacentral:rRNA from 1 species
CGCCCCGCCUCGGCGGGGAGCGGCGGACGGGUGAGUAACACGUUGGAAUCUGCCCCAAAGUGAGGGAUAAGCCCGGGGAACCGGGUCUAAUACCGCAUGUGCCCGCAAGGGUAAAGCUUUAUGUGCUUUGGGAGGAGCCUGCGUAGUAUCAGCUUGUCGGUGAGGUAAAAGCUCACCAAGGCUAUGACGCUUAACUGGUCUGAGAGGAUGAUCAGUCACAAGGGAACUGAGACACGGUCCCU